UCCAUAACAAGGGCGUCGACAAACCCGGAAGUAACCGAGACUGGAACAUUCAGUACAGUCAAAACAACACAUACUUCUCUCUUUAGAUUUAUUCAUUUUCUUUCCGUUUAAAGAAAGAGCGACCCGUGGGCCUCCAUAAUGGUAUGACUUCUGAUAAAAGCUGGUGUCUACGUGGCACGGAAGAUCUCCUCCGCUGUCCGAGGAGAUGAGCAAAAAGACCAGCCUGUCCUCACGCCAUGUAGCCUAACCCAAGCUAAUAAGCGUCAGAGUCAGAAGCGGUUAACAGCGGAGAAGAUGUCAUCUCCAGACCUGGAUGAUGGCGCAGUGUGUGUGCCUCCAGCAGACACUGCAGUGCAGAAAUAUAGUUCCUGAGGUUAAAGGUCACGCCGGUGCAUUACUGGGUGUUAGACAGUAAAGCUACAUCCCCCUGAUUAACAAAACAGCUUUAUCCUUAACUAUCAAAUUUUAAGGCAGAUAUAUACUGUAUUCUACAAGUGCCUAAUCAGAAUGAUCAAGAUCUGGGAAUUUCCCAGUUAUAUCUAGAUUGUUUCCAAUAAACUAUAAACAAAUAAACAUUUGACAUUUCACUUAUUAAUUAUUCAUUAAUAAACUAAAAAGAAAUGAAGCCAAACCUUUUAAUAUAGGGUACUCAAAAACAUUUAACCGGGAUUAUGCUGAUACUGAUAUUAUAUUAAAUUAGAACACAUUCAUGGGGAAAAAUUACUUAAUGACCUUUAUAAACCCAGUUUGCCCUGCGUGACUGAUGGAUACUAGUCAUUGCCUUUCUCUCUCUCUCUCUCUCUCUCUCUCUCAGCUGUAGAGUGUGAAGGUCUGUUCAUCAACCUCUGCUUCAGGGACUGUUCAGAUCUGAAAUUUUCCUACAGCUGUAAUAUUUAUAUUAACAAAUGUUGGCUAUUGUAUGUAGCAUUUUACAUUAAAGAAGAGUAGAUAACAUGCAUAUAACAUCACGUUUUCAUACGUGGGGUGAAAAAUAAAAUCGCUUUAAAUCGG